rnacentral:lncRNA from 1 species
GUGUACAGAUCAAGCCGGCGCCUUCCCACGGUCAUCGCUAGUACCUGAAACAACAACACUAACACUGUAAGCACAAAGCUUAGUGAGUUCCCCAAAAUACCACAUAAACAUAUAUUAGCCACUCGAGGCUAUAACUCUAUGGGUCCGUGCACCCAAGCUCUGGGAACCCUCAGGUUCUAACUCUGGGAACCUUCCGGUUCCAACUCUAUAAACAUGCACAGCAUAAAUCACAUAGACAUCAUGCAGUACAACACAUAGCAUACACAUAACAUACACAUACUCUGACACAUAACUCUGAUUACCUACUCAAGGUAAAGUAUAGUGAGAAGACUCACCUCGUGUAUCUCGAUAACUCGCGAAUCCUGGAAAUCACUCGUGCUCGAUCCUCCGAGCUAUAAUCCUCCUAUAACAUCAGAUGUCUCUAAUUAACACUUUUACCACUAGGGUUGACUACCCCUAUCAAGUCAACACUGGUCAACUCUGGUCAAUGGUCAACGGUCAACUUUGACCGGACUCGGCGAGUGCACUAGGGCGACUCGCCGAGUCUAUAUGUAUUCACCAACUCUCUAGAAUUCCCUUUUUGACACGUCGAGUACUCCCCCGACUCGACGGGUUCCACCUGGCAUGAAUCGCGAGGCCACCACGACUCAACUCGCCGAGUCUUAAGAACAAUUCGGCGAGUCCCAGCUCGACUCAGUCCACCUGUCAACCCUUGCUAACUCUCCCUGACUCACUGAGUCAAAUCAUAACUUGGCUGGACCACUCACUGAGUGGUCAAGGACAAUCUUCAUGCUACUCACCGAGUCUGUUCUUCAGACUCUGCGAGUCCAUGCAAUGCAUCUACUCAAACCAGCUUCUGAGGUCAGAUCCUCACCAUCCACUCAUAGAUCUGGCCCUCCUAAGCUUAUUUACCACGUAAAGUCUACAUCUUGGUGCACAUAAAACACCUACAAGUCUCUUUUUGGAGAAAUAACCUCUAAAAUGGCAACCCUAGCCUCUAACCCAAAAGAGAGGGCAUAAAGCAUGACAUUAGGGACUAUCUUGACCUGCUAAGGUCCAAAUCUAAGCACCAUAUUCCCAUGGGAUCUCUCACGCUUCCAAUACAAGGCAAAGAAGGCAUGAAGAAACCCUAGAUUUGACCAAAUCAACAAAAAUACGGAAAUAAGUUCUGAAUGAUACCUCAAGAAGCCUCCUCUGAUUAAAUGAAAGAAGAUCCAAGCUCCCCAACUCCUCUAGCUUGACUUUCCUCUUCCUUUCUUGCAAAAACACACAAAUUUUGUGAACAAUAGCCUCUUAUCUCACUCACACGAAUCCCUCAGCUGCUUUGGUGCUCUCAAGAUAAAGGUAGCCGCAAUGAAGGGCCAUAAGGUCCUUUAAAUAGGGCUUAGGACCGGGAAUUUAGGGUUUCAUUAAACAACGAGGACUCGCCGAGUCCAUUCCUUGGACUCGUCGAGUCCGGGCGCGAACCCGCGUCCUGAACCGCGAUCCUACUCGGCGAGUUUGAGCUCCAACUCGCCGAGUCCCCUCACAAAACUCCAAAAAUAUAAGCAUAAAAGAUACCUGGAGAUCCGGGCUGUUACAAGACUCCCCCACUAGAACUAGACUUCGCCCUCGAAGUCUCGCUCUGCAAAUAGCUCCGGAUGCUGCUCACGCAUCUCACGCUCCGGCUCCCAGGUCAUCUCCGAUCCCUUCCGAUGCUGCCACUGAACCAACACCAGGGGUACUUCCUUGUUCCUCAAAACCUUGAUUUUCCGAUCUCUGAUGGCCACUGGUCUCUCGGCAUAAUUCAGGCUAGCAUCCACCUGAAUAUCCUCUAAUGGAACCACUGCCGACUCAUCGGCUAUACACUUCCUNCUCAGCUGCGACAUGAAAGUGUCGUAAAUCUUCCCCAACUCUGUUGGCAAAUCCAAAUGAUAGGCGACUCGACCUACCCUCGUGAUCACACAGAAUGGACCAAUAUACCGGGGCCCCAACUAGCCUCUCUUCCUGAAUCGAAUCACUCCUUUCCAAGGAGAGACCUUCAGGAGAACAAAGUCGCCGACCUGAAACUCAAGCUCGGACCGGCACCUGUCUGCAUAACUCUUCUGUCGGCUCAGAGCGGUCAACAACCUCUAUCUGACCUGCUGAAUCUGCUCUGUCGUCUGAAGCACGAUCUCUGUACUGCCCAUCACCCGCUGACCGACCUCUCCCCAACAAAUAGGGGUCCGACACCUCCUCCCAUACAACAGCUCAAAGGGUGGCAUACCAAUGCUCGAAUGAUGGCUGUUGUUGUAGGAAAACUCUGCCAAGGGUAAAUACGCAUCCCAGCUACCCCCGAAAUCCAACACACAUGCUCGGAGCAUGUCCUCAAGCGUCUGAAUCGUCCGCUCACUCUGACCGUCUGUCUGGGGAUGAUAUGCGGUACUAAAAUGCAGUCUAGUACCCAACUCCUCAUGAAAUUUCUUCCAGAAUCUGGAAGUGAAGCGCACAUCACGGUCUGAAACAAUCGAGAUCGGCACCGCAUGCUGAGAUACCACUUCCCUCACAUACACCUCAGUCAAUUUCUCUGCUGAAGAACUCUCACUGAUGUGAAGGAAGUGAGCGCUCUUUGUCAACCUGUCCACAAUCACCCAAAUUGCAUCAACUCCCCUGGAAGUCCUCAGCAAUUUGGUGAUGAAAUCCAUAGUGAUCUAUUCCCACAUCCACUCGGGAACCUCCAACGGCUGCAACUUGCCAUGUGGCCUCUGAUGCUCGGCCAUGACCCUACGACAAGUCAAGCACCUCUCAAAAAACCACGCAACAUCCCUCUUCAUACAGGGCCACAAAUAAUCCUUUCUCAAAUCCAAAUACAUCUUCGUGGGCCCCGGAUGGAUCGAAAAUUUCGACCGAUGAGCCUCCUCCAUCAAAAUGGUACGCGUUCCUCCCACAAACGGUACCCAGAUACGCCCCUGAAAAGUCAUAAGCCCCCGACCAUCGGUAACGAACUCUGAAACCAAACCAACAACCCGUUCCCUCCUCUGCAUCUCAGGUUGCACAGCCUCCGCAUGUGCCCCGCGAAUGGCGUCCAAUAUCGGAGCCAUCACGGUCAAUCUCAAACAUACAUCCCGCAGUGGAGUGCUCUCUGCCCUGCGGCUAAAUGCAUCGGCUACCACAUUAGCCUUGCCUGGGUGGUAUAGGAUCUCACAAUCAUAAUCCUUGACCACAUCCAACCACCUUCUCUGUCGCAUAUUUAGGUUGGGUUGAUCUAUCAAAUACUUCAAACUCUUAUGGUCCGUGUAUAUCGUACACCGAACCCUAUACAAGUAGUGACGCCAAAUCUUGAGGGCGAACACCACUGCCCCCAACUCUAGAUCAUGGGUGGGAUAUCUCGACUCAUGAGGCUUCAGCUGCCUCGAUGCAUAUGCUAUCACAUGCCCUCUCUGCAUCAGCACCGCUCCCAACCCCAAAAUCGAUGCAUCACAGUAUACCACAAAGUCCUCCAUCCCUUCCGGGAGAGCUAACACCGGGGCUUCGCACAACCUUUGGCGAAGUGUCUCAAAGGAGGCCUGCUGCUCGGGGCCCCAUGAAAAAGCAACACCCUUCCGGGUCAAUCUGGUGAGUGGCACUGCGAUCUUAGAGAAAUCCCUGAUAAACCUCCGAUAAUACCCUGCCAACCCUAGGAAACUCCUGAUCUCGGAGGGCGACUUCGGCACCUCCCAACUCAUCACCUCCUCAACCUUGGCCGGAUCGACCAAUAUCCCUUCCUGGUUAACGAGAUGUCCUAAGAACUGGACCUCCCGCAACCAGAAAUCACACUUGGAGAAUUUGGCAUAAAGCCUCUCCGAUCUCAGAACUCCGAGAACCUCUCUCAAAUGCUCCUCAUGCUGCUCUCUAGAUCUCGAAUAUACCAGAAUGUCGUCGAUAAAUACAAUCACCGACCGAUCCAGCAUCGGCCUACACACUCGGUUCAUGAGAUCCAUGAACACUGCCGGGGCAUUGGUGAGCCCAAAAGGCAUCACCACAAACUCAUAAUGCCCAUAACGCGUCCUGAACGCUGUCUUCUGGACGUCCUCAUCCCGCACCCUCACCUGAUGAUAUCCAGACCUCAAAUCGAUCUUGGAGAACCAAGAUGCUCCCUGCAACUGAUCGAAUAAAUCGUCGAUCCUCGGCAACGGGUAACGGUUCUUGACCGUCAGCUUGUUCAACUCCCGGUAAUCAAUGCACAUCCGGUGUGAACCAUCCUUCUUCUUGACGAACAGGAUAGGCGCUCCCCACGGCGAGCUGCUCGGCCGAAUAAACCCCUUCCCCAGCAGCUCCUGAAGCUGCGAGGAUAACUCUUGCAUCUCUGGAGGUGCAAGGCGAUAAGGCACCUUAGCGAUAGGCGCGGCCCCCGGAACCAAAUCGAUACUGAACUCCACUUGCCUCACAGGAGGCACACCCGGCAACUCCUCGGGAAAUACAUCCGGGAACUCACGCACUACCGGAACCUCCUCAACUGAACUCGGCCUCUCGGAAACCACCCGCGUAUCCAUCACAUACGCCACAAAACCCUUACAGCCCUGCUGUAGACACUGCCUCGCCCUAGCGGCCGAACAAAACGCUGAUCCUGAACGUGUACCCUCGCCGUACACCGAAAGAACUCCCCCACUAGGGUCUCGUAUGGUCACCAGCUGUCGCUCGCAGUCGAUAACCGCACCGAAUCUGCUCAACCAGUCCAUGCCCACAAUGACACAGACAUCACCCAUCGCAAUAGGAACCAGAUCAAUCGGGAACUCAACACCGAAAAUCUCGACUACGCACCCUCGGAGAACCUCCGUGGCAUAUAUCACCCUCUCAUCAGCUAUGGAAACUCUCAGAGGCCGACUCAACGCCUCACGACUAACACUGAUAUGCUGACUAAAAGCCAAAGAUACAAAAGACCGACUCGCACCCGAGUCAAAUAACACCAAGGCAGGUACAGAAUUCACAAGAAAAGUACCUACGCAUAACAUAACAUAAGCAUAAUAUCUCAACAUCAAAAUAAAUACAUGAAAGAAUACAUACCAGCCACGACAUCGGGCGCUGCGCGGACCUCCUCCGCGGUCAACUGAAAGGCUCUCCCUCGUGCCCUCGGCGCCUCGGCCUUCACUGGCCGACUCUCGGUAGCUCUGAUGGCGGCAGGGGCAGAUCCCUGAGGUGCUCCCUGAGAUGAUCCUCGCAACUGCGGACACUCUGCCUUCCGGUGUCCGGUCUGAUUGCAGUGAAAACACACCGCAAACCCCUUGGGGCAGUCCUUGGCCAUGUGCCCCUCCUUGCCACACUUGUAGCAAGAUCCCGCUCUACAGACUCCAUCAUGACCCUUGCCACACUUCCCACAAGUGCGGCCCUUCUGGCUCCCUGGUUUGGGAUCAGCGGGCUUGGCCCGCUUGGCUGCCGGCUGAGACUGUGCCGGUCGCCGAUCCCUCCCCUGAGACUCCGCCUCCUCCCUGGCCUGAGUCUCUAGCUCAAUCUCCCUCUUCCGGGCAUUUGCCUGAAGCUCAGCAAAUGUCCGGUACGAGGAGUUCGCCACGAACUCCCGAAUGUCUCGCCUCAAGAUACUCAGAUAUCGGCUCAUACGUGCCUGCUCAGUGGACACGUGCUCAGGGCAGAACAUCGCCCUCUCAUGGAACAUCCUGGUAAUCGCUAUAACGGACGUAGUACCCUGUUUGAGGGUCAGAAACUCCUGUGCCAAACGCUCCCUCUCCACCUGGGGAACGUACUCAUCUCGGAACAUGACAGUGAACCUCUCCCAGGUCACUGCCGCAAGCUCAGUAGGCGUAUAAUGUGCCGUCACAAACUUCCACCAGUCCUUCGCUCCCAAGCGAAGCUGGUUCAGCGCGAACCGAACCUUCAAAUGCUCAGGAGAUGAGCAAGUGAAGAAGCACCCCCUCUAUAUCACAUAUCCAUCUCAUAGCUGCCACCGGACCCUGGGUCCCAUUAAACUCUGGUGGUUUUGUGUUGCUGAACUCCCGGAACAGCAACGUAUCACCUCCUUGCGGCCUCGCGGCAGCAAUCGCUGCGGUGGCCGCUGCAACAGCAGCCUCAGAAAGAGCGGCAUAACGCUCGUCAAAGGUCUCAAUCAGCGUGGUCUUAAUAGACCCGAACAUCUCUGGUAUCUCUGCCCUGAUGGCCGCAGCCACCUCCUCAUGGAUGAUCCGGCGGAUCUCCUCAUCACUGGUAUCACUGCUCUCAGGCAUCAAACGUGUCCUCACCAUGAUCUACCUCUGAAAUACAACGUACGAAAAAUUAGAACCCCUUCGAGCAUACUCACUCUCUACAACUCAUUCCUCCUUGAUCCUUGGUAUUCCAAAGAUUCUUACUUGGGCUGUACACCGCUCCGGUGCUUUCAGUAGUACGGGCCCAAUACUACUAUCCACACCGUAUCAGAAUACAUCCCAAGUCCUCCUCUUCGGAUACCAAAUUCCAAGUACUCUACCAUGCGUAGAUCACUCUCUAAUAGAUCUCUCACAAGCCUCUCGCUGCUACCUACUCACUCUCAAGCAUCUCAUAGCAGCUCACCUCUUCCUAGGCUAAGGCAUCACAAAUCAGGCCACUCUAGCACUAAUAGGAAUACCUAGUCUACUCUAGCAUGCGGAUACAUCAUAUCAAUAUCAAUAGCACAUAACAUGAGGGUAUUUUGGGAAAUCACCGUUCGGGCGCGGACUGAUCGUACACACAACUCUGCUCUGCGUUUCUUUUCAAAAUCUUUUACUCUUUUUGAAAAUACUUCUCAAAUCCUCAGUUUGAGUUCAAAUACGCCCGAAGGUGUACUCGAAUCCCUCAAACCAAGGCUCUGAUACCAACUUGUAACACCGUGAAUUUCAAAAUAAUUUUUCGCAAAUUAUAAAAACAUUUUCCAUUUAAUUUUCAUAAAACAUCAAGUUUAAAACUCCAAUUCACAUCAUACAAAAUCCCAAGAUCACAUAUCAUAAAAAUCCCAUGCGUGUGUACAGAUCAAGCCGGCGCCUUCCCACGGUCAUCACUAGUACCUGAAACAAACAACACUAACACUGUAAGCACAAAGCUUAGUGAGUUCCCCAAAAUACCACAUAUAACACAUAUUAGCCACUCGAGGCUAUAACUCUGUGGGUCCGUGGACCCUACUCUGUGAACCUACUGGUUCUAACUCUGGGAACCUUCCGGUUCCAACUCUAUAAACAUGCACAGCAUAAAUCACAUAGACAUCAUGCAGUACAACACAUAGCAUACACAUAACAUACACAUACUCUGACACAUAACUCUGAUUACCUACUCAAGGUAAAGUAUAGUGAGAAGACUCACCUCGUGUAUCUCGAUAACUCGUGAAUCCUGGAAAUCACUCGUGCUCGAUCCUCCGAGCUAUAAUCCUCCUAUAACAUCAGAUGUCUCUAAUUAACACUUUUACCACUAGGGUUG